AAUUCUCCUGCUGUUUCCUUCACUGUUUCCUUUCGGCUGAAUUCUCUCGCUGUUUCCUUCACUGUUUCCUUUCGGCUGAAUUCUCUUGCUGUUUCCUUCACUGUUUCCUUUCUGUUGAAUUCUCUCGCUGUUUCCUUCACUGUUUCCUUUCGGCUGAAUUCUCUUGCUGUUUCCUUUCACUGUUUCCUUUCGGCUGAAUUCUCUUUGUUUCCUUCACUGUUUCCUUUCGGCUGAAUUCUCUUGCUGUUUCCUUCACUGUUUCCUUUCGGCUGAAUUCUCUCGUUGUUUCCUUCACUGUUUCCUUUCGGCUGAAUUCUCUUGCUGUUUCCUUUACUGUUUCCUUUUGCAUCACACUUGUCUUUUUCCCCUUUUUGUACUUUCCUACGUUCUGUCUUCUCUUUCGCUCCCUAUUCAUGUUUCCCUCCCUCCUUCUUCCACUCUCUCUCGUUUUCUCUGUCCUGUUCUUAUUUGUCCUCCAUCUCCCAUUCCCUUGCUCUUCCUAUCCUCUCUACCUUCCCUGCUCCAUCGCCGUGGUAGCCAACAGGGCCUAGUUGCCAGGGGAAACCUCUACAGUCGCUACAUCAACACCCGGGGCUUUGGGCUGUUGUUGGAGACCCAGCAGAACACCUUCAAACUGCCAGGUUUGACACCAUUAUUGAGAGAGAGAGAGACUGACACGGGGGGACAGACAGACCCCCUGGGACACACAGACAGGUCCCUUCCACCUCUCUCCCUAUCCAGGAAGGAGUUGCUCUGCUCCCAGAACACCAGCGAACCAGACAGACAGGCUGGGAUGGAGACCAGGGUGCUGGAGAAUAGGCUCAGGGUGGGGGUAGGGGGAGAGAAAGGAGGUGGGCCCCAGGUGGUUGAGAAGGGGCCAUUGGGGGCUGAGAAGGACAGGGUGAGAGGAGGCUGGUCAUGGACGGUGGGAGAGAGCUGCUGUAACACAGCUCAGUGGGUCAGGCAGAAGCAGGAAUAUAACAACACCAGACCCUGGUGACCCACAUGGAAGACAGACGGGCUGACUGACAGACGGGCUGACAAGAAGAAGGACAUAGAAGACAGGCUGACUGACAGAUGGAUGGAUAAGAAGCAGGACAUAGAAGACGGCUGACUGACAGAUGGUUGAAUAAGAAGCAGGACAUAGAAGACGGCUGACUGACAGAUGGAUGGAUAAGAAGCAGGACAUAGAAGACGGCUGACUGACAGAUGGAUGGAUAAGAAGCAGGACAUAGAAGACGGCUGACUGACAGAUGGAUGAAUAAGAAGCAGGACAUAGAAGACGGCUGACUGACAGAUGGAUGAAUAAGUAGCAGGACAUAGAUGGAUGAAUAAGAAGCAGGACAUAGAAGACGGGCUGACUGACAGAUGGAUGGAUAAGAUGCAGGAGAUGGAAGACUGACUGACGGAUAGAUAGGAGGCAGGAGAUGGAAGACUGACUGACGGAUAGAUAGGAGGCAGGAGAUGGAAGACAGACGGAUGGAUGGAUAAGAAGCAGGACAUAGAAGACGGGGCUGACGGAUAGAUACGAGGCAGGAGAUGGAAGACAGACGGAUGGAUGGAUAAGAAGCAGGCAAUUGAAGACUGACUGACAUACUGACAGACGGAUGGAUAAGAAACAGGAAGAAAAAGACCGACUGACAGACUGAUUUAAUAGAGAUUUAGAGAAAUGGACUGUGAGCUAGAGUUGAGAUAGACGGGAAGACAGCCACAGCCAAUCCUCACCCACUCACCUUCAGCCCUCUCAUCUGAUCACUGGUUAGUGGUGCUAUGUCUUCUAGACAGAACAAGUGCCCUCUCAUUGAAGUCACUGGUUAGUGGUGCUAUGUCUUCUAGACAGAACAAGUGCCCUCUCAUUGAAGUCACUGGUUAGUGGUGCUAUGUCUUCUAGACAGAACAAGUGCCCUCUCAUUGAAGUCACUGGUUAGUGGUGCUAUGUCUUCUAGACAGAACAAGUGAAGGGUUUGCUUGGUAUGCAACAAUAGUCAGCCAGAUGUCACAGGAUACGUCCCAAAUGGGCACCCUAUUCCCUAUGGGACAUGGUCAAAAGUAGUGCACUAAUGUAGGGAAUAGGGUACCAUUUUGGGUCAAAAGUAGUGCACUAACGUAGGGAACAGGGUGCCAUUUGGGGCUUAGACACAGUCUGAGGGUGUGAAAUGGUGGGUUACAAUGAACAGAAUGUAGCUGUGAAUACUGAGUACUAGUCAGUAGGUUGAUGAUGGUAACGAGAACCACAGCUUUAGAGACCUACUAAAUCUGUCACAUGUACCUGCAGCAAUUCACUUGAAGCAAAAAGGCAAUGGAGCCAUGCUGGAAAUUCCAUCAGACUUGAGUUAAACACGUUAAGAUGUUUUCAAUGUGGAAAUAAACGGCCUGCACUGAUCACAGAAAGACCUGUCCCUAAAUGUUGUUGGAAUCGCUUUACUUGUUAUGUCUGCGUUAUUUACCCAUGUAUUGAUCAUAGAUUACAUUUCAAAUCAAAUCAAAUUUUAUUUGUCACAUACACAUGGUUAGCAGAUGUUAAUGCGAAAUGUAGCGAAAUGCUUGUGCUUCUAGUUCCGACAAUGCAGUAAUAACCAACAAGUAAUCUAACCUAACAAUUCCAAAACUACUGUCUUGUAGACACAAGUGUAAAGGGAUAAGAAUAUGUACAUAAAGAUAUAUGAGUGAGUGAUGGUACAGAGCAGCAUAGGCAAGAUACAGUAGAUGGUAUUGAGUACAGUAUAUACAUAUGAGAUGAGUAUGUAAACAAAGUGGCAUAGUUAAAGUGGCUAGUGAUACAUGUAUUACAUAAAGAUGCAGUAGAUGAUAUAGAGUACAGUAUAUACAUAUGAGAUGAAUAAUGUAGGGUAAGUAACAUUAUAUAAGGUAGCAUUGUUUAAAGUGGCUAGUGAUAUAUUUUACAUAAUUUCCCAUCAAUUGCCAUUAUUAAAGUGGCUGGAGUUGAGUCAGUGUCAGUGUGUUGGCAGCAGCCACUCAAUGUUAGUGGUGGCUGUUUAACAGUCUGAUGGCCUUGAGAUAGAAGCUGUUUUUCAGUCUCUCGGUCCCAGCUUUGAUGCACCUGUACUGACCUCGCCUUCUGGAUGAUAGCGGGGUGAACAGGCAGUGGCUCGGGUGGUUGUUGUCCUUGAUGAUCUUUAUGGCCUUCCUGUAACAUCGGGUGGUGUAGGUGUCCUGGAGGGCAGGUAGUUUGCCCCCGGUGAUGCGUUGUGCAGACCUCACUACCCUCUGGAGAGCCUUACGGUUGUGGGCGGAGCAGUUGCCGUACCAGGCGGUGAUACAGCCCGACAGGAUGCUCUCAAUUGUGCAUCUGUAGAAGUUUGUGAGUGCUUUUGGUGACAAGCCGAAUUUCUUCAGCCUCCUGAGGUUGAAGUCUUCACGAUGCUGUCUGUGUGGGUGGACCAAUUCAGUUUGUCUGUGAUGUGUACGCCGAGGAACUUAAAACUUACUACCCUCACCACUACUGUUCCAUCGAUGUGGAUAGGGGGGUGAUUACCUAAAUGUUGAUAUAGUGCUUUGUAUUUCCCUCAUGUCCCCUCUACACCCUUGAACCUCCUGCACUGCCCUCUACUGGCUAAAUCCGGUACUGCAGUAUCACGAGAACUCAACAGGCAGUCAAGUGGUCCUGUAGCUCAGUUGGUAGAGCAUGGCGCUUGUAACGCCAGGGUAGUGGGUUCGAUCCCCAGGACCACCCAUACGUAGAAUGUAUGCACACAUGACUGUAAGUCGCUUUGGAUAAAAGCGUCUGCUAAAUGGCAUAUAUUAUUAUUAUUUAUUAUAAGUACAAGACAGGGUUGUGUUCAUUCGGCACCAAAACUGAAGACAAUUUAGUUCAAUGGGGUGGAACAACUUGGACUUGUCCAAUAAGAAAUGGCUAUUUUGGUUUUGUUUCAAAACGUUUUGUGUAUAGUUUGUAUAGUUUGUAUAGUGUGCCCUAAUGAACACAACCCUGCUUCCCCACAGACAUAGAUAUCAUCCCCAAAACAUUGGUGUCCUGAUUACAUAUGUUAAACAUUCACUACUAAUGCUGCGUUUACCUUUAGUCGGAACUAGGUAACUCUUGGCAUUUCCCGACUUGCUAACUGGUUGUAGUUACACUGGUUGUAGUAUUCAACCAGUUAGCAAGUCGGACAUUUCAGAGUUUCCUAGUUUCAUACAGCACGUGAAUGCGCCGUCAGUACCAUCAAGCUACAACAUCAGAAGCCCCACCUACACUGAACAAAAAUAAACGCAACAUGUAAAGUGUUGGUCCCAUGUUUCAUGAGCUGAAAUAAAAGAUCCCAGAAAAGUACCAUAAGCACAAAAAGCUUAUUUCUCUCAUAUUUUCUACACAAAUUUGUUUACAUCCCUGUUAGUGAGCAUUUCUCCUUUGCCAUGAUAAUCCAUCCACCUGACAGGUGUGGCGUAUCAAGAAGCUGAUUAAACAGCAUGAUCAUUACACAGGUGCACCUUGUGCUGGGGGACAAUAAAAGCCCAUUCUAAAAUGUGCCGUUUUGCCACAGAUGUCUCCAAUUUUGAGGGAGUGUGCAAUUGGCAUGCUGACUGCAGGAAUGUCCACCAGAGCUGUUGCCAGAGAAUUUAUUGGAAUUUCUCUACCACAAGCAGCUUCCAAUGUAGUUGUAGAGAAUUUGGCAGCACGUCCAACCGGCCUCACAACCGCAGACCCACGUGUAACCGCUCCAGCCCAGGACCUCCACAUCCGGCUUCUUCCCUUGAGGGAUCGUCUGAGAUCAGCCACCCGGAAAGCUGAUGAAACUGAGUAUUUAUGUCUGUAAUAAAGCCCUUUUGUGAGGGGAAAUGUAUUCUGAUUGGUUGGUCCUUUUGUGAGGGGAAAUGUAUUCUGAUUGGUUGGUCCUGGCUCCCAAAUCGACCCACGGCUCGCACCUCUGCCCAGUCACGUGAAAUCCAUAGAUUAGGAACUAAUGAAUUUAUUUCAAUCGACUGAUUUCCUCAUAGGAACUUUUAACUCAGUAAAAUUGUUGAAAUUGUUACAUGUUCGUGUUUAUAUAUAUUUUUUUAUCAGUGUAGUUCUACAAUUUAUCUUCUUAAAAUCUGAUUUUUAAACCCAAACAUUAAUCCCGGGUUUACGUAGGUUACUUUCUAAAUGUAAUCCGUUACUAUAGUUACCUGUACAAAAUUGCAAUCAGUAUCGUAACUUUUGGAUUACCCAAACUCAGCAACGUAAUGAUUACUUUCAGUUAUGCUAGCAGAUCCCCAUAGACUUCCAUUCAUUGCGCUGAUGCUAGUUAGCAUUGGCUCGCGAAACUACCUCAUACUUCCUUCAUACUGGACACAGAGAUGUAUAGUUUAUUUCCUUAGCGUUACUUAGCAACCUCAUGCCUUUUACACAAAAUGUAUAUAGACUCCACUUUUUUUUUUUUUUCUACUGUGUUAUUGACUUGUUAAUUGUUUACUCCAUGUGUAACUCUGUGUUGUCUGUUCACACUGCUAUGCUUUAUCUUGGCCAGGUCGCAGUUGCAAAUGAGAACUUGUUCUCAACUAGCCUACCUGGUUAAAUAAAGGUGUUCUCAACUAGCCUACCUGGUUAAAUAAAGGUGUUCUCAACUAGCCUACCUGGUUAAAUAAAGGUGUUCUCAACUAGCCUACCUGGUUAAAUAAAGGUGUUCUCAACUAGCCUACCUGGUUAAAUAAAGGUGUUCUCAACUAGCCUACCUGGUUAAAUAAAGGUGUUCUCAACUGGCCUUCCUGGUUAAAUAAAGGUGUUCUCAACUAGCCUACCUGGUUAAAUAAAGGUGUUCUCAACUGGCCUUCCUGGUUAAAUAAAGGUGUUCUCAACUAGCCUACCUGGUUAAAUAAAGGUGUUCUCAACUAGCCUACCUGGUUAAAUAAAGGUGUUCUCAACUAGCCUACCUGGUUAAAUAAAGGUGUUCUCAACUAGCCUACCUGGUUAAAUAAAGGUGUUCUCAACUAGCCUACCUGGUUAAAUAAAGGUGUUCUCAACUGGCCUUCCUGGUUAAAUAAAGGUGUUCUCAACUAGCCUACCUGGUUAAAUAAAGGUGUUCUCAACUAGCCUACCUGGUUAAAUAAAGGUGUUCUCAACUAGCCUACCUGGUUAAAUAAAGGUGUUCUCAACUAGCCUACCUGGUUAAAUAAAGGUGUUCUCAACUGGCCUUCCUGGUUAAAUAAAGGUGUUCUCAACUAGCCUACCUGGUUAAAUAAAGGUGUUCUCAACUAGCCUACCUGGUUAAAUAAAGGUGUUCUCAACUAGCCUACCUGGUUAAAUAAAGGUGUUCUCAACUAGCCUACCUGGUUAAAUAAAGGUGUUCUCAAC